rnacentral:rRNA from 1 species
AUUGAACGCUGGCGGCAUGCCUUACACAUGCAAGUCGAACGGCAGCACGGGAGCAAUCCUGGUGGCGAGUGGCGAACGGGUGAGUAAAGUAUCGGAACGUGCCCAGUCGUGGGGGAUAACGUAGCGAAAGUUACGCUAAUACCGCAUACGAUCUAUGGAUGAAAGCGGGGGAUCGCAAGACCUCGCGCGAUUGGAGCGGCCGAUAUCAGAUUAGGUAGUUGGUGGGGUAAAGGCUGACCAAGCCGACGAUCUGUAGCUGGUCUGAGAGGACGACCAGCCACACUGGGACGGAGACACGGCCCAGACUCCUACGGGAGGCAGCAGUGGGGAAUGUUGGACAAUGGGCGAAAGCCUGAUCCAGCCAUGCCGCGUGCAGGAUGAAGGCCUUCGGGUUGUAAACUGCUUUUGUACGGAACGAAAAGGUUUGGCCUAAUAAGCUGAGCUCAUGACGGUACCGUAAGAAUAAGCACCGGCUAACUACGUGCCAGCCGCCGCAGUAA